rnacentral:lncRNA from 1 species
GGCUGCUGUUACGUUGCCGUUAGGUUGAUGUUAGGAUGCUGUUAGGUUGCUGUUAGACUUCUGUUAGGAUGCUGUUAGGCUGCUGUUGGGAUGCUAUUUGUCUGUUGUUAGGAUGCUUUUAGGAUGCUGUUAGGAUGCUGUUAACAUGCAAUUAGGCUGCUGCUAGGUUGCUGUUAGGCUGUUGUUAGGUUGCUGUUAGGUUGGUGUUCAGAUGCUGUUAGGCUGCUGUUAGGCUGCUGUUAUGCUCCUGUUUGGAUGCUGUUAACACGCUGUUAGGAUGCUGUUAGGUUGCUGUAAGGAUGCUGUUAGGCUACUUUUUGUAUGCUGUUAUAAUGCUAUUAGGUAUCUGUUAGGAUGCUAAUAGGUUGCUGUUAGGCUGCUCGUAGUUGGCGGGGAGGCGGCUGUUAGGUUGCUGUUAGGAUGCUGUUAGGCCGCUGUUUGGCUGCUGUUUGGCUGCUGUUAGGAUGCUGUUAGGAUGCUUUUUGUCUGUUGUUUGGCUUCUGUUAGUAUGCUGUUAGGAUGCUGUUAGGCUGCUGUUAAGCUGCUGUUAGGUUGCUGUUAGGCUGCUGUUAGGUUGCCUUUAGGUUGCUGUUAGGCUGUUGUUAGGCUGCUGUUAGGUUACUGUUAGGAUGCUGUUCAGAUGCUGUUAGGCUGCUGUUAGGCUGCUGUUAGGAUGCUGUUAGGUUGCUGUUAGGCUGCUGUUAGGCUGCUGUUCGGAUGCUGUUAGGAUGCUGUUAUGCCUGCUGUUAGGAUGCUGUUGGGCUGCUGUUAGGUUGCUGAUAUGAUGCUGUUAGGUUGCUGUUAGGCUGCUCGUAGUUGGCGGCUAGGCUGCUGUUAGGAUGAUGUUAGGCUGAUGUUAGGAUGCUGUUAGACUUCUGUUAGGAUGCUGUUAGGCUGCUGUUAGUCUGCUGUUUGGUUGCUGUUAGGAUGCCGUUUGUCUGUUGUUAGGAUGCUGUUAGAAUGCUUUUAGGCUGUUAAGUUGCUGUUAAGAUGCAAUUAGGAAGCUUUUUAGCUGCUGUUAGGAUGCUGUUAAGAUGCUGUUUGGCUGUUGUUUGGCUUCUGUUAGGAUGCUGUUAAGAUGCUGUUUGUCUGUUGUUUGGCUUCUGUUAGGAUGCUGUUAGGAUGCUGUUAGGCUGCUGUUAAGCUGCUGUUAGGUUGCUGUUAGGCUGCUGUUAGGUUGCUGUUAGGUUGCUGUUAGGCUGCUCAUGGGCUGCUGUUAGGUUGCUGUUAGGUUGCUAUUAGAAUGCUGUUAGGAUGCUGUUAGGUUGCUGUUAAUUUGCUGUUAGGAUGCUGUUAGGUUGCUGUUAGGCUGCUGUUAGGCUGCUGUUAGGAUGCUGUUAGGUUGCUUUCCAGAUGCUGUUCAGAUGCUGUUCAGACACUGUUAGGAUGCUGUUAGGAUGCUGUUAGGCUUAUUUUAGGCUGCUGUUGGGAUGCUGUUAGGCUGCUGUUAGGAUGCUGUUAGGAUGCUGUUAGGAUACUGUUCAGAUGCUGUUAGGAUGCUGUUAUGCCUGCUGUUAGGCUGCUGUUAGAUUGCUGUUAGGAUGCUGUUAGGAUGCUGUUAUGCCUGCUGUUAGGCUGCUGUUAGAUUGCUGUUAGAAUGCUGUUAGGAUGCUGUUAUGCCUGCUGUUAGGAUAUUGUUAGGAUGCUGUUAG